ensembl:ncRNA lncRNA:CR43415 long non-coding RNA:CR43415
AAACAGCCAGGACAUCUCAACAAAUUGAGAUUAAUCACAAAACAAACCCGGGCCAAAAAGCUCAAAAGGUGACAAAUGCCGGAACAAACAGCGAAUGCCGUAAAGGUAACAAAUCGAUGGGAAAUAUUUGUAAUGCCUGGGCAAACCUCAUGAUUUGUUUAAGUUUCCUGCAAUUGAACAACGGGCGGUGGCAACAUCGAGAAGUGGUGGAGUGGACAGGACACAAAUCAAUUAUGUUGCCACGGGACAAAGGCGAGAGCGUCGAAAAAAAAUAAUGGCAAUACAAAAGUGGAGUAGAAUGUGGAGGAGGUGGCGUUGGUGGAGCUAGCCGAGCACAAAAAGGAACAAUGGCCAACAUUGGCAACCUGCUGCGCUAAUGCCGGUCUCAGACAAACGAACCCCCCGCCGAAUACCCCACAUCUAGUGCCUGAAAAACAUGCACUGCGAGAAAUAAAGUCGAGAACAGUCCUAUGAUUGAAGCCGGAAAUCAACUUUUAAUUUAAAUUGAAAAAGCAAAGGAAAAAGGUUUUUUCUAAUGAAUUUCUAAAAGAAUGAAAUAGAAGAAAUUG